rnacentral:miRNA from 1 species
AAUUGAGGAUGAGAUUGAGAGAAAUGAUGAGAGGGGAUGAUGGAAGGAAGGAAUAACAAAAGUGAAAACAAAAACUUGAAAUGAAAACAACUUCAAAUAGCUUUCAGUUUUUAAAUUUUGUUUUCAGUUUUGUUACUCCUCCCCCUCAUCUUUCCCUCUUAUCUUCCUUCUCAAU